UGCGUAGGCGGCUUUUUAAGUCAGUGGUGAAAUCUUGCCGCUUAACGGUAAAAUUGCCAUUGAUACUGAAGAGCUUGAGUCCAGUUGAGGUAAGCGGAAUGUGUAGUGUAGCGGUGAAAUGCUUAGAUAUUACACAGAACACCAAUUGCGAAGGCAGCUUACUAAACUGUCACUGACGCUGAUGCACGAAAGCGUGGGGAGCGAACAGGAUUAGAUACCCUGGUAGUCCACGCCGUAAACGAUGCUCACUCGCUGUUUGCGAUACACAGCAAGCGGCCAAGCGAAAGCAUUAAGUGAGCCACCUGGGGAGUACGAUCGCAAGGUUGAA
rnacentral:rRNA from 1 species